rnacentral:piRNA from 1 species
UGGGUGACCGCGAACCUGGCCUGAG